rnacentral:rRNA from 1 species
AUGUACAUGCCUACAACGUUAAUGCACUAGAUCCCAUCAUAACUUUGUAGUUAAGCACGCUUAGACUAGAGUAGUACUGGGGUGGGUGACCUCCUUGGAAGUCCUGGUGUUUUACAUG